GAGAUCAAAACUGAAUUUUUUCAUAUAAUAGCGGGGAUAUGGCCUGCGAGUCUCUACCGGUUCACCGUAAAUGAACCGACUAUGGAAAAGCUUUUACGUGUG
rnacentral:ncRNA from 2 species